GCCGCGGCUGUCGUCCCCCGCUCCUGCCACUUCCGGGGUCGCAGUCCCGGGCAUGGAGCCGCGACCGUGAGGCGCCGCUGGACCCGGGACGACCUGCCCAGCCCGGCCGCCGCCCCACGUCCCGGUCUGUGUCCCACGCCUGCAGCUGGAAUGGAGGCUCUCUGGACCCUUUAGAAGGCACCUCUGCCCUCCUGAGGUCAGCUGAGCGGUUAAUGCGGAAGGUUAAGAAACUGCGCCUGGACAAGGAGAACACCGGAAGUUGGAGAAGGUGAGGUUGGCCUUGGAGGCCCUGAUCCGUGAGGAUGUGGCCCAGCUUCUGGAAUUCCCCAACAGUCUAAGAUCUGGAAGGCCCCUUCUUUCCCUCUCCCCUGGCUUCCCCAGCACGUCCCCAAGACUGUUCUGGUUAUUUCAAGCGAGGAGGCAGUGUGGCGUAGUGCGGGGUCUCCCCCUCAGCACUGUGGACGCUGGGGCUGGAAUGUUCUCUGGGGUGGGGCCGUCCCA
rnacentral:sRNA from 1 species